CCUACGGGAGGCAGCAGUGGGGGAUAUUGCACAAUGGGGGAAACCCUGAUGCAGCGACGCCGCGUGUGGGAAGACGGUCUUCUGGAUUGUAAACCACUGUCCCCAGGGACGAAAAUGACGGUACCUGGGGAGGAAGCUCCGGCUAACUACGUGCCAGCAGCCGCGGUAAUACGUAGGGAGCAAGCGUUGUCCGGAAUUACUGGGUGAAAAGGGAGCGUAGGCGGGGAUGCAAGUUGGGUGUCAAAACUACCGGCUCAACCGAUAGUCGCACUCAAAACUGCAGCUCUUGAGUGAAGUAGAGGCAGGCGGAAUUCCUAGUGUAGCGGUGAAAUGCGUAGAUAUUAGGAGGAACACCAGUGGCGAAGGCGGCCUGCUGGGCUUUUACUGACGCUGAGGCUCGAAAGUGUGGGGAGCAAACAGGAUUAGAUACCCUAGUAGUC
rnacentral:rRNA from 1 species